ACGCGCGGAACCUUACCAGGUCUUGACAUCCCAUUGACCGCUAUGGAGACAUAGCUUUCCCUUCGGGGACAGUGGUGACAGGUGGUGCAUGGUUGUCGUCAGCUCGUGUCGUGAGAUGUUGGGUUAAGUCCCGCAACGAGCGCAACCCUUGUUCUUAGUUGCCAUCAUUUAGUUGGGCACUCUAAGGAGACUGCCGGUGACAAACCGGAGGAAGGUGGGGAUGACGUCAAAUCAUCAUGCCCCUUAUGACCUGGGCUACACACGUGCUACAAUGGACGGUACAAACGGUUGCCAACCCGCGAGGGGGAGCUAAUCCGAUAAAACCGUUCUCAAUUCGGAUUGUAGGCUGCAACUCGCCUACAUGAAGCCGGAAUCGCUAGUAAUCGCGGAUCAGCAUGCCGCGGUGAAUACGUUCCCGGGCCUUGCACUCACCGCCCGU
rnacentral:rRNA from 1 species